GAUUUUCAGAAGGUGGAUGUUCCUUCUAUGUUUACGGGAUUUAUAGUUAAUCAUAGAGGAAAAUCCACAUGUUUGGUAUU
rnacentral:pre_miRNA from 1 species